CAACUGCGAUCGCCUGUUUCUCUUCUCUCGAUUCCCCAAGCCAAAGCUAGCCGCCGCCGACUCCCCAACCCCGGCCUCCACUCCAUCGCCGGCGGCCUCUCCCCCUUUCUCCCUGGACGCAUAUCCACUUGAGCAGCACAGCCUACGGUCAGAUCUGCCCCUCCGUCCUCGCGCCAGAAACCCUAGUCGUCCGGCCAUGGUGACCGACCGCAGGCACAUACCUCGACGACGGUGGCGCCACGGAGCGGAGCUUCCUCUGCCCGGGACGCCGCUCAUGUGCUCGUCAAGGUCCGCUGCUCCUUCCUCCAGUCCCAGUCCCAGGAUAAGCAGCAGUAGCAUGAAGUGAAGUUUGUAACAGGCUAUUCAAGCAGGAGUAUGUGUAGACAUAUUUGCUGUAACUGAUGAAUACACCGAUUUGGCUUCGUCGAAGUUUUAAAGUAUUGAAAGUGGUGGCUCAUUAUUUCUCUAUGCAAACUCGGAUGAUUCAACACUUCACCAGGACAUGUAUUGCCUAUUGAGUAGACCCUAUGCAUUUGGUUGUGUUCUCAAGAUGAGAACAUCGCAAGGUUUUGAUCCUGGCCACUCUGUAAGCCUUCAAGCUACCUGUAUUCACAUUAUCUAUAUGAUCAAAUUCAAUGUCUGUCACCGUAAAAGUGUUUAACCCACCUUGGGUGCCACUGACCUGUUAGGUCUGGACCCACAUGCCAUUGAUGCAAUAGUGGCAUAACUGUUACAAAAAUUGCAGUAACAGAUAAGGAUUUAACACUUAACCAGACCAUCUAAUUUUUAAUGUAUCCAUCUUUUUGCAGUAUGGCCAUUUCUUCCUUGAUCCUCAAUAUGAAAAUGUGCAACAUAUUAACUGCUGUGAGUCAAUUCAGAUUAUCAUAGGUAAUUCGCAUAAUGGAUUGUCAUAAAUAAUUUGCAUCAUGUUGUACCAACAAACAAAGGGAGUGCAUGGUUCUACUAGCUUAUUUGUGUUCGAUCCUCCAACUGGCUCUGCAUGCCCAAGAUUUGAAGCGUGACUGACUUUUUUGUGUCGACUGAGUUAUUUCGUUACAAUCACCAGUGGAGAUUUCUAAAAAAAUAUGUGGAUUGGUAAGACUAAGUUCGACUAUCGUAUUUAAUGGGUCAUAAUUUCUUAUUCCAAAAGCAGAUGUUACACAAAAAUACAUGAGUUCAUGGGGGAGCACGUCAACAAGGCUGCUGCAUGAGUUCAUGUCGUCGGCAGUGGCUCGCUCGUCAACAAGGCUGAUGAAAUCAGGGGGAGCACGAGCGGGUCCGUGGACGAGCACACUUGAUGCUUCUUUAAUUCACUACAGCAAAAUACUAACAGCAUCAACAUCGAUAGUGUUCGCCACUCUCCUGACGGUGUCUCCGAUACUUUGGCCCCAGAUUAAUUAGUUGCAGCAUCACCAUAGAUUUCCCUCCUGCGGACUAUAUAGGUUGGUGUGAGCUCGGUUUGAUUUGGCCUGGUUUUGAUGUCUACUGUGUGCAGGUGCCAAAGGUGUCCGAUCGAACUCAGUUGGAGGUCAAACAGGUUCAUCUCUCGGGCAUGCCACCAAUAACGCUCGAUGACACCGAUGCGCAGACUAUAAGUUUACCCCCUCAGCCCUGAUAUAUUGGUGUGAGACACCCUGCAUUUACAUGAUAUUGCUAGGAACGCGUGCAAAUUUCAUAAUUUGUUAUACAUGCUGCUUAACUUGAUCACCGGUGUGCUGUUAAUUGGAACUCAAGAGAAUAGAGAUGACACCUUACCAUAGGCAACUCUUAAUUAUGUGCGCGUUAAUUCAAUUCUGAAAGUUGAUUCAAGUCUGUAGUGAUUGAAGUAGAUUCAUAGAAGCAAUUCCGUUAGUAUGUGAACAAAAAGCUCAUCUUAUAUGUGUGACCGGAGUUGCAGAAUAUGAAUAGGGCAAUGAUCAUAGAUGCCAACACCUACAACGUGAUUUAUCUUGAUAGAGGUGCAAUGGAUUCGUAAGUAGUUUUGAUGUUUUUUCUAGAUAGCUCAAGUACUUAAGCUUCUGCAUUCAUGAAAAACAAAAGAAGGGACUAGUAGUCAGGUUCCAUUAAUCCUUCUAUAGGUGUUCUCUUUGAUGCCUUUCCCCCUUCAUUACUAGUACAAUGAUGAUUUCUCUAUUAACCUUCUCGGUGGAGUUGGGCACUGUGCUCUUGACCUUGAAAGUGUAUUUGCAACUUUACUCAUAAUACCUUUGUGUGAUAGUAAUACUUUUGUGUGAUAGUGAGGCAAUUUAGUUGCAUGCCUUCAGUCACAAAAAAAGUCCUCGAAAUAAAAACGAAAGAAAAAGUAACAAGAGUUGUUGAAAAUACGAAUGGGUCAUCAAUGGCCAUAGAACAGGAGAGCAAUUUGAAUGGACAAUGGAAACAUGAGUAAAAGAAGCAGCUAAACUGAGGCCGCUCGCCCAGAGUGUCUCGGAGGAGGAUGACAGUGCCGCUGGAUUGGCGGAUGACUACUUCUUGGUGGCGUAUGGAUGUCGUACUGUAUGGAUCUUGAUUGGAUAGUUCCUGACCUCAUUCUAGGAUGCUGAUUGGAGCCUGGUACUUCACUUUUCUCCUUACUGAUAAAUGCUCCUGUUCAUUAAUUUGGUAAUGCUCAUGACAUUGCACGUGAGUUGCUGCGAGCCAAGCGAUAGAAAAGUUUGAAACUAAUGUUGCAGAUGAUGUUUCUUUUUUUUCUUCUUCAUGACAUUUUUUUGGGUUCAGCAUGUUGAUAAGAACUACUCCCUCUGUUUCCAAAUAAAGUCUUUUUAGAGAUUUCAAUUUGGACUAGAUACGAAUGUAUAUAGACGGAUUUUAGAGUGAGCUUCACCCAUUUCCACUGUAUGUAGUCCAUAUUGAAAUCUUCUAACAAGACUUAUAUUUAGGAACGGAGGGAGUACUUUGUUUGUAGUCUUUGUAUAACCUGCUUUGUUCAGAAGAAUAUUCUAUCAGGCAACCAUUUCUGAUAUGUUCACAUGACUUUUUUCAUGUGGCCGUUCCUCACAUUCCUUUGCUUGCAACUAUUCCAGCCAGCUGCAAUGAAGUCCUCCAUAGAGAAGGGUUUGCGGAAAAUGAUCUUGGCAUCCCAGAUAAGCAGGUCGGAGUCAAAGCCAGUUCCGAGGGGGAUUUCAAUGGAUCACCAACACGAGAAAUUGAAAUGGCAGGACCAGAAAAGAUGGUCCCAGGUCUCACUGCAGCCGGAUGUGCAAGAACACAUCAAUGAUCAUCUGUGAGACUAACACUGAAAUUUUGUCGAUGGAGCAUUACCUAUGUUAUUUAGCUUCUAGAGUACAAUGACUUGUACGUACAACUAUAACAGCUAGCAGCAUGGUUUAUCCCCUUCUGGUUCUACUAUUUCUCUAGAGUGAUGGCAUAGGAAGAGCAUGUGUAUAUGUUGAGGUUAGUCUUCUGAAACUAAUGCUGCAGAUGUUCUUUGUAGACUCAGCAUGUGUGUUUAUUUUAUUUUUACUUCUUUGUGA